GCUCUGCAACGAGUUGUGUUGGUC
rnacentral:siRNA from 1 species